ensembl:misc_RNA 7SK 7SK RNA
GGAUAUGAGGGUGAUCUGGCUGUGGGAUCUGAUAUGCCAUGGGUUGCAUGGGUUGGUCUGACUGAUCUGGCUAGCUUAGGCAGGUGUUCCCUUUCUUCCUUGACAUUCCAUGUGUGUUCUUCCUGGUGUUGUGUGCUUGAACAAUGAGGACAGCCUCCCCAAUAAUACUGGUCACUGGUCAAGGGUGAGUGGUAGCUGCGUUCCCCUGCUGGAAGCCCUAAGUAAGCUCAAUGUCCAUUUGAAGAUGAGUGCAGGGUGGUCAACAUCCAAUACUGAAGACAUAUCCAAAUGAGAAUUUGCACACAACAGUCUGCCAGUGGCUUCUUUU